GCUGUAAUGAUGAUCCCCAUGCGUGUCAACUGACUUCAGAGUCCCCUGUGCUCCUCUGCUGCUUCUCAGCGUUUUGUUGGGAUGUGUGCAGGGCCACAGCACUCUGGAGGCAUGAUCAGACCUCAUUGACCUGAACACAGC